UGGGCACUCUUGCUUUCUCUUCUCAAGAUCCAAAGGAAAAAACACGCUGUUGAAAAAACAAUGUGUUUUCAAUAGCGUGUUUUUCAACAUUCCCUUCCCUAGCCAAGGGAAAUCUACGCAACAGAAAAGGGAUUCUGCAGAAUAAAGUGCAAUGUCAAAACUGUGCAUAUUAUCUCUCAAACAGGAUGAAUACCUCCUCACUGCCAAAGUAGUUGGAGGGACAUCAGACACCAGUGAUGGGAACACUGAACCUUACAUUUGGCAAGGCGAUUUAGGAAAGUUUUGGGUUCCAGUAAGCUCUCAGGUCCUGAAUAUAUAUAAAUAUAUAUAUAAACUUAGAAAAUGGUUUUCUCAGCUGAGCCAGGGCACAAAUCCAUAUUCUGUCAGACCACAGAAGAGCCUUUGUAACAACAAGGAGUGGUACUGCUCUCUGGUUCUCUCAUCUGUCCUGGUGAAGAAGUGAGGCUUGCGUGAUCUCGAUACCCUGGGUUAACCCUUCAGAGCAUCACCAUCACAGAGCAUUUCAGUUCUCUCAAGCGAGGCUUCAGAGUUAACCCUCUUCAGUUCAUGGCUUCCCCCAGGCAAGAGCUAGGAGGGAGAAAGGGGCUGAGUAACAAAGAGAAGACGCAGGAACUCUCCCGGAGAGAGCGAGCCUGGAAAUCUGCAUCCGCGCCUCAGCUUUUGGUGUUAACACGAACCCACGCAGCAUUCUUCAUUCUCUUUUGGGGGCAGUUUAAAAUAGGGGACGCCUCCCCAGCUUUGGGAGCUGGAGCCCGAGAGCCAAGCCAUAAGCCUGCAGGGGGAUGCGCCAGCCUCGCCAGCUCGGAACAAGCGCCUCCGGAGCCCUCCGGCCUAUGCAUCUUUUAUUCAGGGAAUUGGAAUGGAGAACCCCCAACGCCAGCAGCGGCCUGUAAACCACCCUUUGGAAGGCAAAAUCGGCUCCUCAGCAAGGGAUAGCGCUUAGAGAAAAGCGCGGCCAUCAACCCCGCAGAUCAAGUCCCCGGACAUGAUUGUGGGAGAGCCGAAGCUCCGCGCCUCCCACUGCCACCCGCCGCAGGGCCUCCGUCGACAUCGCCCUCCCUGCGCUCUCCUUCCCAAGCCCCUUCCCCGCUCACCAGCCUCGGCAUCCUCGCUCCCGGAGGCGCGCGUGGCCGACUGCGGCUGUGUGCCUGGAACGCUGACGGCGGAGAACGUCACCUGUGCCCCGCCGUCCCUCCCACGUCUUACUCCUCCCUAGCCCCCUUCUUCCACUCCCCUUUUCCCACGCCCUCCCAGGAGCGGAGGCUGUCUGUGUGGGGGCAAUUAAGUGAUGUUCGUGUUCACCUUUGUCUAUUUUCAGAUAUUUUUCCCUUUUCAGAGGUGACCACUAGUGAAACUAAGACUGUGUUUGGUGGGGGCGGGGGGAAUCAUUUUUUUCUUCCAUUUUCCUGUAAACUGGACUGAGAAAGGAAAUGAGGUAGGAGGUUGCGGAGAUGAAUUGUUGAACUGUUAGCUCUUGAUGUAGUGGCAAAGGAUUCAAGCUGAAUAUAACCAAUAGGUUUUUUUUUAAGAAAAAACCCACAUUUAUUAUUUUUAAACCCAGAUACAACUCAUAUAUCUAAGCAAUCAAUUCCGUAAUGAUUUCACCUUUCAUGAUGUAACCGGUUCUUUACUGAAGAGUUUCCUCCCAUUUGCAUUAAUGAUGAGGAUUUUUUUUUUUCUUUUUCUUUCCUCUUUUUUUAUUUUUUUUAACAAGUUCCAGAGUUCUUGGCUCUAAAAACAAACAAAAAAGGCAAAGAAAUCAUCCAAUGUUCAUCUCCUGAAGCCUUGUGUGUUUUACUACCACCACCCUCUCAGAAGAAGCUGGGACAAAGUUUUGGGGCUUUGUUUUUGCUUCUUUUUACAGAUAAGGUCUCGCUCUGUUGUCCACGGGAGAGGGCAAGUGGUGCGAUCAUAACUCACUCCUGGGCUCAAGGGAUCCUCUCACCUCAGCCUCUGGAGUAGUAGCUAGAACGAUAGAUGUGCAGCCACUAUGUCCAGCUAUUUUUUUUAGACAUGGGGUCUUGCUAUGUUGCCCUGGCUGGUCUGGAAUUUCUAGCCUCAAAUGAUCCUCCUGCCUACGCUUCCAAAGCAGUGGGAUGGCAGGUAUGAACCACUGCACCUGACCUAUUCUCCUACUUCUAGCACCGUAGACUAGGCUCAGCCGAUUUUGAAUUCUAUAUGAAUAACAUCAGAGCAUAUGUCCUCACUUGUAUCUGGGUUUUUCACUCAACAGUAGAUUUUAAAUAUCCAUCCAUGUUAUUGCCUGUAGUGUGGCUUAUUCAUUCUCACUGAUGUAUAGUAUUCUAUUCUAUAAAUACUGUGUAUUACAAUCUAUUUAUUCUUCUGUUGAUAAACAUUUCUUUGUUUUUCAAA